rnacentral:ncRNA from 2 species
GGUCAUGAGUGCCAGCGUCAAGCCCCGGCUCGCUGGUCGGCAACCCUCCUCCGCGGCGGGGUGCUCCGGGUGACGACCUGGCCGUGUGCCGGAUUCCCGCCACGGCAAGAGCGGAUU